rnacentral:rRNA from 1 species
UACAGGGGUCCCGAGCGUUGUUCGGAUUCACUGGGCGUAAAGGGUGCGUAGGUGGCAUGGCAAGUUUGAUGUGAAAGCUCAGGGCUUAACCCUGAAAUGGCAUUGAAUACUGCUGUGCUGGAGGUUUGGAGGGGGGACUGGAAUUCUCGGUGUAGCAGUGAAAUGCGUAGAUAUCGAGAGGAACACCAGUGGCGAAGGCGAGUCCCUGGACAACACCUGACACUGAGGCACGAAAGCCGGGGGAGCAAACAGG